UGAUGCCACAUCUUGGGAUGGAACAC
rnacentral:piRNA from 1 species